GGUCUCAUGGUGCAAUGGUUAGCACUUUGGACUUUGAAUCCAACGAUCCGAGUUCAAAUCUCGGUGAGACCU
rnacentral:tRNA from 1 species